UGAGAUGUGUCAAAUUACAAACUAUUUAUAAAUAAAAUUCGCAAACGUUGAAACUCUUCGACUUUCAUUAACAUCAUAAGAAUCUAUGCACCGGUUCCAAAAUUUUUACCCUUCUAUACGUGUAUCUCCCUAUUCAUCGUCUUCUAAAUCAUCUGCUUCAAACCGAUCAGGAUCUUUUGGUUCCUGAUCUUCGUACCAUUGGGUAGCAUCGUCAAUAUAACUAAGUACUCUGCUUACGCUUUCCUCGUUUCCGCUCUCAAGAGGAAGGAAAUUGACCAUAUUAAAGUCAUCAAUCUAGUCAUUAGCAGAAGCUCGAGGAAUUAUGAUUCUGUGACUUACCAGUUGAACAAUGCACCGAUUAAGUUCGUGAAACUUUGGGUUUGUUGUUUCGUUAAUUUCACCUGUGAGCAAGAGUGGAUCUGUAUUGAGAAACCUUUUUAAUUCCGCUUUUGUAAUGUUAUUGUUGUCUUUGAGUAAAUCCAUUUUGCUCAAUAAGUUAAUAUGCGGGACUUCCAUCAUAACCAUUGCGCUCAUUGCGCUUAAAACACCCGCAAAGAACUUUGUACGGUCAACGAGAAAUUGGCUUUCUAACAGGUAGACAGCACAAGGACGAAAGUUUAGGGUUACUUGAAGAUGGCGAAUUAAUGCUGGUAAAAUUGGUACGUGAGUAUACAAUUCAAUUUGUCCAGGCAUAUCGAAAAUUAAAUAGUCUUCGUCGUAAUCGCCAAUUUCUUCAUUUAACCAAUCUAAGUUUUCCAUCAAAAAUUCGAAACAAUAAAUUAACCCACCAUUAGGGCCGUAGUCCAGCUCUUCCAUAACAUCAUCAAUGGAUAUUAAGUCUCUAAUAUCAACAGUUGGUUCCCAUUCGAAGUUUUCUGCAGCAGGAUCUAAAUUAACUAAAUGGCAAGAACGUCCAACGCUUUUCAUAUAAGACAUUAAUGCUCCACAAAACGUACUUUUACCACUGCUGGCAACACCACAAACAAAAGCUGCCACCUUAACCAUUUUUCUAAAAAGACUAACGUCUUUUGAAACGUCGUGUUCUUUUAUCCUAUGCCUUCUUACCUGUGCCCGUAUGCACCCUUAUAACUCGCCAUGCGAUGCCCUAAGUAUUUUACUGACUUUUAACAACAAAUACUUUAACUGUGAAUAACACGCUCUGUUUAAAUCUUUAAGUCUUGCAGAAUUUACGUUAAACGUCACUAAAAACAUUCAUUUUUUUGAAUACCCCCUAAU